CGACGUGAGGAACCUGCCUCAAAGAGGGGGACAACAGUUGGAAACGACUGCUAAUACCGCAUAAGCCCACAGCUCGGCAUCGAGCAGAGGGAAAAGGAGUGAUCCGCUUUGAGAUGGCCUCGCGUCCGAUUAGCUAGUUGGUGAGGCAAUGGCCCACCAAGGCGACGAUCGGUAGCCGGACUGAGAGGUUGAACGGCCACAUUGGGACUGAGACACGGCCCAG
rnacentral:rRNA from 1 species